AACGAUUCACGGGGGAGCCGCUUGGGCGGCUGAGAGGAUGGCUCACAUCGACCCUUAGAACCUGUACGGAUAAUGCCGACGAAGGGAGAAUUAACAUGUCCA
rnacentral:ncRNA from 2 species